UCAAGCCUUUCCGCUUGGCUUCUUUAACCUAGCAACAGGCAUUUAAGUUUUCUCCGUGUCUUCUCGUGGCUUGGUAUCUCAUUUCUUUUUCAUGCUGCGCAUUCUUUCACUGUCUGCAGGUCCCACAAUUUAUUCAUUCCAUUCACCUCCGGAAGGGCAUCUUGGUGGCUUCCAAUUUUGGCAAUUGUGAGUAAGCUGCUACAAACAUCUGUGUUCAUGUUUCCAUGUGGACAUAUAUGUCGACUCCUUUGGGCAAAUGACAAGGAAGGCAGUUGCUGGAUGGUAUGGUAAGAGCAUGUGUCGUUUUAUAAGGAACUACCAAACCCUCUUCCACAGUGGCUGUGCCAUUUUGCCUUCGCUUCAGCAGUGAAGGAGAGUUCCUGUUGUCCCACAUCACUGCCAGCAUUUGAUGUCAGUGUUCUGGACUUUGGACCUUUUAAGAGCCCUGGGCCUGAACUAACGCCCAACAGAAGGGUGAAGAAGAAAUGGAAAAGCUUAUUGUGGGUAUGCUUCUCCGGGGCACAAAGGCGUGAUUCGCUGUGACAUCUGAUAUUGUGUACCGUGUGAAUGUGUACGUUAGAUCUGGAACAGAAUGCCUGCCUGUAUCCCACUGUCGUGUCUUAAAGCCAUCCUAAGUUAUACAAAAUAAUAGACUCUGAUGAAGGAAACGUGCUUGCACUUUCCCCUGUGCUGUGGUGUGAUGGUUCAUAAUCUUGGGGGGGUGGGGGGCGGACGGAAGUCUUGAGCCCCAGGUGAGAGGAAAACGCACAUUCCCGCACAUAUACUUUACAUUGGCUUUCAGAGGGUUCACGGAACUUCCAGCCCCGAAGACUUUCUCUGAAUUGGUGCUUCACUCCCUACAGACUCAAUCUGACAAACAAAAACGUUCAGGUUUUCUCGCGUCUGGAAAGGAAUUGACCUCUCCUGUGCCUCGCAGUGGUAGGGAAUCGGAGAGAGCCAAGGACGGAUGGCCUGGCGAUGCGACCGCCCGGUCUGGAAAGGCUGGCCCAUGUGUGGAGCGGGUGAGCUAAGGUCGCCUACUAGAACCGGUCCGCUGGGAACACCUGCUAAGCUUGCGAAGGUUGGAGGGACCUACAGAUGAAGAGAUGGGUCCGCCAGCACGGAAGUGAGCGUGUGGAGAGAAGGCAGGGAGGGUUGGGAAUAUUAACGGACCAGCCGGUGAAAAGUGAAAUCGAGAACGUUUGCAGUGGGUCUCUAUGGGCCGCCGGAUGCAGUAACAACAUCGUACGUUCCUGCGUAUGCUCACCUUUUAUUUACAUUUUGGAGGUAUUUUGAGGGGACCCAAGGCGGGAGAAAGCUGAGAAGGCACCUUCCUACACCCCCAUCCGUCUCCCUUCUCAGACCAGAGCCUCCCCCAGAGACUAAAACUACUGACCCCGACGUGAUUUGAACACGCAACCUUCUGAUCUGGAGUCAGACGCGCUACCGUUGCGCCACGAGGUCCCCGAGGGGCCGCGGGGUUUCUUUACCUGUCAACCUGAUCCGUGGAAUCGACUUUUCCGCACCCGGUGAGGACCGCGCGGGUGGAACGCGGGCCCUCCAAUCACUCCCCGACUCUGCGUCCCAGUUGUUUCUACUUGACGGGCCUUCCUUCUCUAUUUCACUCCUGGUUUUCUCCAUCUUUAUAAAAACAAACAAACAAACAAACAAACA